rnacentral:lncRNA from 1 species
CAAGAAAUCUGCUAUGGGACAGAUCCAGCAUGAUUACAAGAGAUGGAUAAAGUUCAAAAAGUUUAAGUCAACAAACCUUAAAGGAGAUUUCUUCACUGGCCAGCCCGGAGAGCCUGCGUGAUGCCUCUCGCAUCCUUCCUUCCCCUCUUUGCCUUGCCGUGCCCGGGCUCCCCGCAGCAGACCCCUCUCGCACGCACUGCUUGAUAGCAACGGGGUCAGCAGCGAGCAUAGAGUUCAGCGCUAUAGAAGUGGAAACAGAAAGCAGCCAUGGGCAAUUAACCAGGGCUGCGACUGCUUAUGUUUGGUUCCUACUUCCAUUUCUGUUUCCAUGGAAAUGGACAUCAGAUCAUUGGGAAUAAAAUUUUUUCUUUCAUUGAUAUAAACUGACAAAAGCAACAUCGGUUUUGAAGUACGCAGAGGCUAUUGGCUGUCCUUUGGGAAAGGAGUUGGUAAGUUUGCCCACCCCUUUUUGCUUUGUAAGGUAUCAAAACAUGCAAACAUCCACCCUACCCCUUGCUCUGUGUUCCUG